rnacentral:rRNA from 2 species
AACGAACGCUGGCGGCAGGCUUAACACAUGCAAGUCGAGCGCCCCUCCUUCAAGCAAGCUUGAAGGAUUUUAUCCUUGAAAAAGAAGAUCAAGAAGAGCUUCAGAAUGAAGCUUUCUUGAUGGAGGGGAGCGGCAGACGGGUGAGUAACGCGUGGGAAUCUACCCAUCCCUACGGAAUAACGCAUGGAAACGUGUGCUAAUACCGUAUACGCCCUUAGGGGGAAAGAUUUAUCGGGGAUGGAUGAGCCCGCGUUGGAUUAGCUAGUUGGUGGGGUAAAGGCCUACCAAGGCGACGAUCAGUAGCUGGUCUGAGAGGAUGAUCAGCCACACUGGGACUGAGACACGGCCCAGACUCCUACGGGAGGCAGCAGUGGGGAAUAUUGGACAAUGGGGGCAACCCUGAUCCAGCCAUGCCGCGUGAGUGAUGAAGGCCUUAGGGUUGUAAAGCUCUUUCGUCAGGGAAGAUAAUGACGGUACCCGGAGAAGAAGCCCCGGCUAACUUCGUG